GGCGGGGGCGCGUUCUCCCUUUCUGCGGGCGCGGGGCGGCGGGAGCGGGGCUCUAGUCCUGCAUCGGCCGGACCAGGACCGGCACAGGCCUCGGCCUCUCCCGGCGGGGUCAGCGGGAAGCCCCGCGUCCCUCAGGCGCAGGAAGGCGGUGCUGGUUGAGGCGGCUGCGCCGUCCCGUGCCAUGUUACGGCGAGGCUCCCUCGGGGCCGGUGGCGCUUCCCCCCGGCCCCGGCGCUGGGCGGCUGCGGCGGGAGGACACGGGCGAGCCCAGCAGUGGACAGAAAGAUGAAGUGACCAAGAUGGUGUGACUUCAGAAACAAAAUGUGAUCCUUCACAAAAAAGCUGCCCAAGCACGCUUCAAGCACCUUUCUGACUAGGCCGUGGCAGAGCCGGGGGAGCCCCAGGCCAGAUCAUGCCUUGAGCUGCAGAAUGUCUGACAAACGUGGAGCUGAGAAGUGGUUGGCAGCAUCCACGUCUGAUGGUUUGGAGAUUCCUAAAACUCGAUCAUCUGUGUUUUCUCUACAUGGUUAAAGAUUUAAAUAAAUUUUAAAAAAAACCUAAAUAAAGAUGCCACCUACAAGACUGAAA